rnacentral:rRNA from 1 species
AUUGAACGCUGGCGGCAUGCCUUACACAUGCAAGUCGAACGGCAGCACGGGAGCAAUCCUGGUGGCGAGUGGCGAACGGGUGAGUAAUACAUCGGAACGUACCUGGUAGUGGGGGAUAGCCCGGCGAAAGCCGGAUUAAUACCGCAUACGACCUGAGGGUGAAAGCGGAGGCUCUUCGGACCUCGCGCUAUUGGAGCGGCCGGUGGCAGAUUAGGUAGUUGGUGGGAGAAAGGCCUACCAAGCCUGCGAUCUGUAGCUGGUUGGAGAGGACGACCAGCCACACUGGGACUGAGACGCGGCCCAGACUCCUACGGGAGGCAGCAGUGGGGAAUUUUGGACAAUGGGCGCACGCCUGAUCCAGCCAUGCCGCGUGCGGGAAGAAGGCCUUCGGGUUGUAAGCCGCUUUUGUCGGGGAAGAAACGGUGGAGGUUAAUACCUUCUGCUAAUGACGGUACCCGAAGAAUAAGCACCGGCUAACUACGUGCCAGCCGCCGCCGUAAGAC